UCAUUAUGUACACAGACACCACAUGGCCA
rnacentral:piRNA from 1 species